GACCAUCCUACUAGCUAUAGAUUCAGUUCAUACAUAUCUCGGAAAAUGGACGAGGUCUUCAGCCUGCACAUGGAGAAAUUGGACGUUUACGACGUUCUCCUUUUGGCCGGCAUUCUCUCCGUGAUAAUUCUGAUCUGUAUUUAGUUUAAAUUGGAUCGCAAUCGAACUAAAAUGCAGAA
rnacentral:sRNA from 1 species